GGAUCCGUAGCUCAGCGGAAAAGCGCCUGCCCGACACGCAGGAUGUCGGACGUUCAAGUCGUCCCGGAUCCA
rnacentral:tRNA from 1 species